UACGUAGGGUGCGAGCGUUUGUCCGGAAUUAUUGGGCGUAAAGGGCUCGUAGGCGGUUUGUCGCGUCGGGAGUGAAAACUCAGGGCUUAACCCUGAGCCUGCUUCCGAUACGGGCAGACUAGAGGUAUGCAGGGGAGAACGGAAUUCCUGGUGUAGCGGUGAAAUGCGCAGAUAAUCAGGAGGAACACCGGUGGCGAAGGCAGGUCUCUGGGCCACUACUGACGCUGGAGAAGCGAAAGCAUGGGGAGCGAACAGG
rnacentral:rRNA from 1 species